AUUGAACGCUGGCGGCAGGCCUAACACAUGCAAGUCGAACGGUAACAGAAAGCAGCUUGCUGCUUUGCUGACGAGUGGCGGACGGGUGAGUAAUGUCUGGGAAACUGCCUGAUGGAGGUGGAUAACUACUGGAAACGGUAGCUAAUACCGCAUAACGUCGCAAGACCAAAGAGGGGGACCUUCGGGCCUCUUGCCAUCGGAUGUGCCCAGAUGGGAUUAGCUUGUUGGUGGGGUAACGGCUCACCAAGGCGACGAUCCCUAGCUGGUCUGAGAGGAUGACCAGCCACACUGGAACUGAGACACGGUCCAGACUCCUACGGGAGGCAGCAGUGGGGAAUAUUGCACAAUGGGCGCAAGCCUGAUGCAGCCAUGCCGCGUGUAUGAAGAAGGCCUUCGGGUUGUAAAGUACUUUCAGCGGGGAGGAAGGGAGUAAAGUUAAUACCUUUGCUCAUUGACGUUACCCGCAGAAGAAGCACCGGCUAACUCCGUG
rnacentral:rRNA from 1 species